rnacentral:rRNA from 1 species
UACGUAGGGUGCGAGCGUUGUCCGGAAUUACUGGGCGUAAAGAGCUCGUAGGUGGUUUGUCGCGUUGUUCGUGAAAACUCACAACUCAAUUGUGGGCGUGCGGGCGAUACGGGCAGACUGGAGUACUGCAGGGGAGACUGGAAUUCCUGGUGUAGCGGUGGAAUGCGCAGAUAUCAGGAGGAACACCGGUGGCGAAGGCGGGUCUCUGGGCCAGUACUGACGCUGAGGAGCGAAAGCGUGGGGAGCGAACAGGAUUAGAACCGUACCGUA